rnacentral:rRNA from 1 species
GUAGGUGGCAAGCGUUGUCCGGAAUUAUUGGGCGUAAAGCGCGCGCAGGCGGUCCUUUAAGUCUGAUGUGAAAGCCCACGGCUCAACCGUGGAGGGUCAUUGGAAACUGGGGGACUUGAGUACAGAAGAGGAAAGCGGAAUUCCAAGUGUAGCGGUGAAAUGCGUAGAGAUUUGGAGGAACACCAGUGGCGAAGGCGGCUUUCUGGUCUGUAACUGACGCUGAGGCGCGAAAGCGUGGGGAGCAAACAGGGAUUAGAUACCCUGGUAGUCCACGCCGUAAACGAUGAGUGCUAAGUGUUAGGGGGGUUUCCGCCCCCUUAGUGCUGCAGCUAACGCAUUAAGCACUCCGCCUGGGGAGUACGGCCGCAAGGCUG